rnacentral:rRNA from 1 species
AACGAACGCUGGCGGCAGGCUUAACACAUGCAAGUCGAACGCAUCGCAAGAUGAGUGGCAGACGGGUGAGUAACGCGUGGGAAUCUACCUAGUUCUACGGAACAACAGAGGGAAACUUCUGCUAAUACCGUAUACGCCCUAAGGGGGAAAGAUUUAUCGGAAUUAGAUGAGCCCGCGUAAGAUUAGCUAGUUGGUGGGGUAAUGGCCUACCAAGGCGACGAUCUUUAGCUGGUCUGAGAGGAUGAUCAGCCACACUGGGACUGAGACACGGCCCAGACUCCUACGGGAGGCAGCAGUGGGGAGUAUUGGACAAUGGGCGCAAGCCUGAUCCAGCCAUGCCGCGUGAGUGAUGAAGGCCUUAGGGUUGUAAAGCUCUUUCAGUGGGGACGAUAAUGACGGUACCCACAGAAGAAGCCCCGGCUAACUUCGUGCCAGCCGCCGCCGUAAAAC